rnacentral:rRNA from 1 species
UACAGAGGUCUCAAGCGUUGUUCGGAUUCAUUGGGCGUAAAGGGUGCGUCGGUGGCGCGCUAAGUCAGGUGUGAAAUUUCGGAGCUUAACUCCGAAACUGCAUUUGAUACUGGCGUGCUUGAGGACUGGAGAGGAGACUGGAAUUUACGGUGUAGCAGUGAAAUGCGUAGAUAUCGUAAGGAAGACCAGUGGCGAAGGCGAGUCUCUGGACAGUUACCGACGCUGAGUCACGAAGGCCAGGGGAGCAAACGGG